UACGUAGGGUGCAAGCGUUGUCCGGAAUUAUUGGGCGUAAAGAGCUUGUAGGCGGUUUGUCACGUCGGGUGUGAAAGCCCGGGGCUUAACCCCGGGUCUGCAUUCGAUACGGGCUAGCUAGAGUGUGGUAGGGGAGAUCGGAAUUCCUGGUGUAGCGGUGAAAUGCGCAGAUAUCAGGAGGAACACCGGUGGCGAAGGCGGAUCUCUGGGCCAUUACUGACGCUGAGGAGCGAAAGCGUGGGGAGCGAACAGG
rnacentral:rRNA from 1 species